CUUUCUUUAAAAUUUGUUCCAUAAUUUUUUUUUGUUUUACCUUAUUGCAACUUACAAUAAUAUAUAUAGUAAUUGGCACCACAUAUUAAUUUAUUACUGUAAUUUUUUUCUGCUUUUUGAUUAAAUAUCAAAUACUUAUUAUAGAUUGCCCAAUGAUUAUGCCCAAAGGGAACAAUGGGUUUCAUUAAUGGAAAUCAACACAUUUAAAAAGAACAUAUUUGUUUGUUCAGAUCACAUCCUUAGAAGUGAUAUAAGGGAGAUAAUAUUAUCAGUAGCCAGACUUUAUUAAAAAAAUCAGCUCUACCUCAAAGGAUUUCUGAUGCACUGGUUAAAAACACAGCAGCCAAUAAUUUAGUUAAUUUACCAAGUGAUUUACCCUUCAAAGCUACAGGGGUAGCUUUCCUGAAGAGUGCAAAAACUUCUUUAGCUUUCAAAAUGGUAUAUAGUACAAACAGUGAAGCUAAUAUAGACACGUAUGGAUAAUUAAAAUAGAUUAAUAUUCUUGAUACACCAAAUUUUGUAUAAUUACAGAUCUGAUCAUUCAUCAUCAGCAAUAACUGCAUCUGAGAAUUAUAGUUCUACAGUAACCGUGGAGUCUAGGUCAACAAUUACUAUUUCUCAUCCAAGCCGUUUUUGUUUAACUGCUACACAUUCCCUGACUCUGCCAAGGAAAAGGGUAAAAUCAAAAUGAUAUCCUGAGGACCUAAGCACUGAUGAUUCCACCGUUUCAAGAGCUUAAUCACUUGUCACCAGAUUAUGGAAAAAAAAUAAAGUACAAAAAAUUAAAAUUCGAAGAUUGCAACAAGCAAAUUUGCGCCAAAGAAAUUAAAUUAGAUGUCUCAAGUCAUUAUUAAAAUACUUACAUGAAAUAAUAACAUGAUUUUAUGGAAAAGCCCAACAUACUACAUAUUUUAUUUGACUUGUAAAAGCACUUGUUUGUAUAUUACUACUAAUAAACUCUCUAAUCUAAUCUAUUGUACAUAGUCUUUAUUCUUAGCUUUGUUUUUUAGUAUAAAUUAAUAUGAUAUAAUAUUUGGUAUUAGGUAUUAUAUAGGUCACUAUUAAAUGUCUCAAAACCAUUAUACAGGCUAAAUACUCAUAAUAAAAAUCUUAUAACCUACAAAAAACCUGCAACUCCUUCACUAUUUGAACAUCCUUGUAGUUUUAACUUUUUCCGCUGAAGCAAUACUGUCCCUUUGAAAAAGUCAGCAGCAUAGAAGUAUAUAUUAUGUGAUGUAAGUAAGUGAUGUAAAACUGAGUUUUGUCCAAUAUAACAAUAACAAUAAAAUUUUGCAAAAUGU